rnacentral:rRNA from 1 species
GAUGAACGCUGGCGGCGUGCUUAACACAUGCAAGUCGAACGAAGCAUUUAGGACAGAUUACUUCGGUUUGCAGUUCUUUAUGACUGAGUGGCGGACGGGUGAGUAACGCGUGGGUAACCUGCCUUGUACUGGGGGAUAGCAGCUGGAAACGGCUGGUAAUACCGCAUAAGCGCACAAUGUUGCAUGACAUGGUGUGAAAAACUCCGGUGGUAUAAGAUGGACCCGCGUCUGAUUAGCUAGUUGGUGAGAUAACAGCCCACCAAGGCGACGAUCAGUAGCCGACCUGAGAGGGUGACCGGCCACAUUGGGACUGAGACACGGCCCAGACUCCUACGGGAGGCAGCAGUGGGGAAUAUUGCACAAUGGAGGAAACUCUGAUGCAGCGACGCCGCGUGAGUGAAGAAGUAAUUCGUUAUGUAAAGCUCUAUCAGCAGGGAAGAUAGUGACGGUACCUGACUAAGAAGCUCCGGCUAAAUACGUG